rnacentral:rRNA from 1 species
UACGUAGGGCGCAAGCGUUGUCCGGAAUUAUUGGGCGUAAAGAGCUCGUAGGCGGUUUGUCGCGUCUGCUGUGAAAACCUAAGGCUCAACCUGGGCCUUGCAGUGGGUACGGGCAGACUAGAGUGCGGUAGGGGGAUGACUGGAAUUCCUGGUGUAGCGGUGGAAUGCGCAGAUAUCAGGAAGAACACCCAGUGGCGAAGGCGGUCUCUGG